ensembl:snRNA U1 U1 spliceosomal RNA
AUGCUUACCUGGCAGGGGAGAUACCAUGACCACGAAGGUGGUUUUCCCAGGGCGAGGCUUGCCCAUUGCACUCCGGAUGUGCUGACCCCUGCGGUUUCCCCAAAUGUGGGAAACUCGACUGCGUAAUUUGUGGUAGUGGGGGACUGUGUUCGCGCUCUCCCCUG